rnacentral:rRNA from 1 species
AUCUACGACCAUACCACCCUGAACGCACCUGGUCUCGUCUGAUCUCAGAAGCUAAGCAGGAUGUGGCCUGGUUAGUACUUGGAUGAGAGAAAAGACAGGUUUCUUAAGCC